rnacentral:lncRNA from 1 species
UGGCUUCGAGCUGGUGCAUGAGCGCCAGAUGUCCACCGGAACCGAAGGGAGCCGCCGCGUGGAUUUACAGAGCAAAAGAUCAAAUCCUUUCUCUCUUUCGUUCAUUUUCUUCAUCUUUUUCUCCACUACCAAACAAAUCGAGUCGCAAUUGCAAGUAGUUUUCGGUAAUAUUUGGUUUUUGCCAAAAACAAGAUGGUACAAUUU